rnacentral:rRNA from 1 species
UACGGAGGGUGCGAGCGUUGUCCGGAAUCACUGGGCGUAAAGGGCGCGUAGGCGGCCUGAUAAGUAGGGGGUGAAAUCCUGCGGCUUAACCGCAGGGCUGCCUUCUAAACUGUCAGGCUGGAGCACAGUAGAGGCAGGUGGAAUUCCCGGUGUAGCGGUGGAAUGCGUGGAGAUCGGGAAGAACAUCAGUGGCGAAGGCGGCCUGCUGGGCUGUUGCUGACGCUGAGGCGCGACAGCGUGGGGAGCAAACAGG